UACAGAGGAUGCAAGCGUUAUCCGGAAUGAUUGGGCGUAAAGCGUCUGUAGGUGGCUUUUUAAGUCCGCCGUCAAAUCCCAGGGCUCAACUCUGGACAGGCGGUGGAAACUACCAAGCUGGAGUACGGUAGGGGCAGAGGGAAUUCCCGGUGUAGCGGUGAAAUGCGUAGAGAUCGGGAGGAACAUCAGUGGCGAAGGCGGCCAUCUGGGACAACACUGACGCUGAAGCACGAAAGCGUGGGGAGCAAACAGG
rnacentral:rRNA from 1 species